rnacentral:rRNA from 1 species
AGAGUUUGAUCCUGGCUCAGGACGAACGCUGGCGGCGUGCUUAACACAUGCAAGUCGAACGAUGAAGCCCUUCGGGGUGGAUUAGUGGCGAACGGGUGAGUAACACGUGGGCAAUCUGCCCUUCACUCUGGGACAAGCCCUGGAAACGGGGUCUAAUACCGGAUAAUACUUUCUCUCUCAUGGGGGAAGGUUAAAAGCUCCGGCGGUGAAGGAUGAGCCCGCGGCCUAUCAGCUAGUUGGUGGGGUAAUGGCCUACCAAGGCGACGACGGGUAGCCGGCCUGAGAGGGCGACCGGCCACACUGGGACUGAGACACGGCCCAGACUCCUACGGGAGGCAGCAGUGGGGAAUAUUGCACAAUGGGCGAAAGCCUGAUGCAGCGACGCCGCGUGAGGGAUGACGGCCUUCGGGUUGUAAACCUCUUUCAGCAGGGAAGAAGCGAAAGUGACGGUACCUGCAGAAGAAGCGCCGGCUAACUACGUGCCAGCAGCCGCGGUAAUACGUAGGGCGCAAGCGUUGUCCGGAAUUAUUGGGCGUAAAGAGCUCGUAGGCGGCUUGUUGCGUCGGUUGUGAAAGCCCGGGGCUUAACCCCGGGUCUGCAGUCGAUACGGGCAGGCUAGAGUGUGGUAGGGGAGAUCGGAAUUCCUGGUGUAGCGGUGAAAUGCGCAGAUAUCAGGAGGAACACCGGUGGCGAAGGCGGAUCUCUGGGCCAUUACUGACGCUGAGGAGCGAAAGCGUGGGGAGCGAACAGGAUUAGAUACCCUGGUAGUCCACGCCGUAAACGUUGGGAACUAGGUGUUGGCGACAUUCCACGUCGUCGGUGCCGCAGCUAACGCAUUAAGUUCCCCGCCUGGGGAGUACGGCCGCAAGGCUAAAACUUAAAGGAAUUGACGG